GGGCAUAUGGUCUAGUGGUAUGAUUUCUGUUUUGCAAUGACCCAUUGAUUACAGACGGUCCCGCGUUCGAUCCGCGGUAUGUCCA
rnacentral:tRNA from 2 species